AUGAUGCGCAAGCACGGGCUAGCCAUUGAUAACAUUAUCGAUGCAGAGUUGGUGGACGUCAAUGGCACGCUCCUGAACAAGACCACCAUGGGGGACGACGUCUUCUGGGCCAUCAGAGGCGGCGGCGGCGGGAGCUUCGGCGUCGUGCUGAAGUGGCAGGUGAGGCUCGUGACCGUCCCGGCGACGGUAUCGGUGUUCAAGGUCUCGGCGUCCAACAGCCAGGGAGCCGCCGUGCACGCGGUCACCAAGUGGCAGAAGGUGGCGCCGGCCCUGCCGGACGAACUGUACAUCAGGGCGCUUGUCCAGAACGAC
rnacentral:rRNA from 1 species